rnacentral:rRNA from 1 species
CCUCCUUUUUUCCGCCGUGCGGCCUCUUGGUCCCUGGGCGCGCGCCUGCCCCAGCCAAGUAGCGUGAAGGAUGACUGCCCUACGGGUUGUAAACUUCUUUUAUAAAGGAAUAAAGUGAGUCACGUGUGCCUUUUUGUAUGUACUUUAUGAAUAAGGAUCGGCUAACUCCGUGCCAGCAGCCGCGGUAAUACGGAGGAUCCGAGCGUUAUCCGGAUUUAUUGGGUUUAAAGGGAGCGUAGAUGGGUUGUUAAGUCAGUUGUGAAAGUUUGCGGCUCAACCGAAAAAUUGCAAUUGAUACUGGCAGCCUUGAGUACAGUUGAGGUGGGCGGAAUUCGUGGUGUAGCGGUGAAAUGCGUAGAUAUCUCGAAGAACUCCGAUUGCGAAGGCAGCCUACUAAACUGCCACUGACAUUGAUGCUCGAAAGUGUGGGUAUCAAACAGGAUUAGAUACCCGAGUAGUC